GACGAACGCUGGCGGGUGCCUAAUACAUGCAAGUAGAACGCUGAGGUUUGGUGUUUACACUAGACUGAUGAGUUGCGAACGGGUGAGUAACGCGUAGGUAACCUGCCUCAUAGCGGGGGAUAACUAUUGGAAACGAUAGCUAAUACCGCAUAAGAGUAAUUAACACAUGUUAGUUAUUUAAAAGGAGCAAUUGCUUCACUGUGAGAUGGACCUGCGUUGUAUUAGCUAGUUGGUGAGGUAAAGGCUCACCAAGGCGACGAUACAUAGCCGACCUGAGAGGGUGAUCGGCCACACUGGGACUGAGACACGGCCCAGACUCCUACGGGAGGCAGCAGUAGGGAAUCUUCGGCAAUGGACGGAAGUCUGACCGAGCAACGCCGCGUGAGUGAAGAAGGUUUUCGGAUCGUAAAGCUCUGUUGUUAGAGAAGAACGUUGGUAGGAGUGGAAAAUCUACCAAGUGACGGUAACUAACCAGAAAGGGACGGCUAACUACGUGCCAGCAGCCGCGGUAAUACGUAGGUCCCGAGCGU
rnacentral:rRNA from 1 species